UAAUACGGAGGGUGCAAGCGUUAGUCGGAAUUACUGGGCGUAAAGCGCGCGUAGGCGGUCUGGUCAGUCGGAUGUGAAAGCCCCGGGCUUAACCUGGGAAUUGCAUUCGAUACUGCCAAACUAGAAUGUGGAAGAGGGAAGUGGAAUUUCCGGUGUAGCGGUGAAAUGCGUAGAUAUCGGAAGGAACACCAGUGGCGAAGGCGGCUUCCUGGUCCAACAUUGACGCUGAGGUGCGAAAGCGUGGGGAGCGAACAGGAUUAGAUACCCUGGUAGUCCACGCCGUAAACGAUGAGAACUAGAUGUCGGGAGGGUUUAGCCUCUCGGUGUCGUAGCUAACGCGUUAAGCACUCCGCCUGGGGAGUACGGCCGCAAGGUUA
rnacentral:rRNA from 1 species